AAGGCACCUGGUAUAUUGGGCCCACUUUCAGCCUCUCACUUCAAGAUGGAAGUUGAGUACGUGGAGGGAGUCCAGUGGAAGGCUAUCGAGAUGAUGAGGGGCCCUACAUCACAUAAAAUGAGAGUCUGAGCUCUUUAGUCUUGAGUAAAGGAGGCAAAGGGAUGAUUUAAUAGCAGCCAACAACUGCCUGAAGGUGUUAUGAAGAUGAAGGAGCCAAACUGUCCUUGGAUAUGACAAGGGCCAACAGCCACAGAUUACAGGCUGGGAGGUUGGACAUUAGUGACCUUUAAGGUCCCUUCUAACACAAACCAUUUUGUGGUUUUACGUGCAGUUAUUAAGUUUACAGAUGCUUGUGACCUACUUACUAAUCUAAUAUCACCCACACACAUAACUGUUCUUUAUUUCUGAAGUAAGGAGCUUGAAUCACUCUCCUGACUAACACAGAGAUGGGUCACAGAGACCUACGUGGUAUGCACAUGCUGUGCUGCAAUUCAAACACUCAGGGGGAAUUUAUUCCUGAUGUAACUUUGCUGCCCUCAACAUGUUCAUAUGAGAGGACCUUGGAUCUUCAGCUGUUGGGUACAAAAUGCACAGUGUCAGAAAACACUCUCCAAUCCAUGUUCGACCUCAACCCACCCCCACCACGCCCACACACUACAUCCCUCAGUGCCACAUCUCCAUGGUUCUUGAACCCCUCCAAGGACGGUGACUGCAACCCCUCCCUGGGCAGCAGUGCCAGAGCCUCACCACUCUCUCUGAAAAUGAAUUUUUCCAACGUGAACCUUCCCUGGCUCAAAUUGAGGCCAUUACUUUUCUUCCUCCAAGGUGUGAGAAUCAAUGACCUCUUGGUUCACUGAAGCAAAUGACUGGGAAAUACAUCUCAGGUGGUCUACCUGAUAGACUUCUUCUUACUUCCCUGUGAAGCAGAGCUGUGAAAAGUGAUUUCUUGGUAACCAUAAGAACUGUAAAUAGCUGUGAGAUUUAAAAACUAAAUGUAGACAUUUGGGUUCCAAUAAAGUCUUAAAAUGACAAUAAAAUUAUUUUAAG
ensembl:lncRNA